rnacentral:piRNA from 1 species
UAAGUGGCCAGACUUGGGAUUUGAUCUUC